ACUUAAGCAUAUCAAUAAGCGGAGGAAAAGAAACCAACAGGGAUUGCCUUAGUAGCGGCGAGUGAAGCGGCAAAAGCUCAAAUUUGAAAUCUGGCUCUUUCAGAGUCCGAGUUGUAAUUUGAAGAAGGUAUCUUUGGGUCUGGCUCUUGUCUAUGUUUCUUGGAACAGAACGUCACAGAGGGUGAGAAUCCCGUGCGAUGAGAUGAUCCAGGCCUAUGUAAAGUUCCUUCGAAGAGUCGAGUUGUUUGGGAAUGCAGCUCUAAGUGGGUGGUAAAUUCCAUCUAAAGCUAAAUAUUGGCGAGAGACCGAUAGCGAACAAGUACAGUGAUGGAAAGAUGAAAAGAACUUUGAAAAGAGAGUGAAAAAGUACGUGAAAUUGUUGAAAGGGAAGGGCUUGAGAUCAGACUUGGUAUUUUGUAUGUUACUUCUUCGGGGGUGGCCUCUACAGUUUAUCGGGCCAGCAUCAGUUUGGGCGGUAGGAGAAUUGCGUUGGAAUGUGGCACGGCUUCGGUUGUGUGUUAUAGCCUUCGUCGAUACUGCCAGCCUAGACUGAGGACUGCGGUUUAUACCUAGGAUGUUGGCAUAAUGAUCUUAA
rnacentral:rRNA from 1 species